CGCCUUACCUCGGGGUGCCCGCCGGACCUGGUCCGACUGGCUGAGAUGCGAAAGCGGACCCGUUGAACCUGAACCGGAUCAUACCGGCGGAGGGAAGGUGCAUGGAAUUCCU
rnacentral:ncRNA from 2 species